AGAAUCAACGCUGGCGGCGUGCCUAACACAUGCAAGUCGAACGAGAAAGGGUAGCAAUACCUGAGUAAAGUGGCGCACGGGUGAGUAACACGUGACUAACCUACCCUGGAGUGGGGGAUAACUGAGGGAAACCUUAGCUAAUACCGCAUAACACCUACGGGUCAAAGGAGCAAUUCGCUUUGGGAGGGGGUCGCGGCCGAUUAGUUAGUUGGCGGGGUAAUGGCUCACCAAGACAGUGAUCGGUAUCCGGCCUGAGAGGGCGCACGGACACACUGGAACUGAAACACGGUCCAGACUCCUACGGGAGGCGGCAGUGGGGAAUUUUGCGCAAUGGGGGAAACCCUGACGCAGCAACGCCGCGUGGAGGAUGAAGUCCUUCGGGACGUAAACUCCUUUCGAUCGGGACGAUAAUGACGGUACCGGAAGAAGAAGCCCCGGCUAACUUCGUGCCAGCAGCCGCGGUAAUACGAGGGGGGCGAGCGUUGUUCGGAAUUAUUGGGCGUAAAGGGUGCGUAGGCGGUUUUGUAAGUCUUAUGUGAAAUCUAUGGGCUCAACUCAUAGACUGCAUGAGAAACUGCCGGGCUUGAGUGUGGGAGAGGUGAGUGGAAUUUCCGGUGUAGCGGUGAAAUGCGUAGAUAUCGGAAGGAACACCUGUGGCGAAAGCGGCUCACUGGACCAUAACUGACGCUGAUGCACGAAAGCUAGGGGAGCAAACAGGAUUAGAUACCCUGGUAGUCCUAGCCCUAAACGAUGAUCGCUUGGUGUGACGGGUACCCAAUCCCGCCGUGCCGCAGCUAACGCGUUAAGCGAUCCGCCUGGGGAGUACGGUCGCAAGGCUGA
rnacentral:rRNA from 1 species